rnacentral:ncRNA from 2 species
UUCUUAUCAAGAGAGGUAGAGGGAAUGGCCCGAUGAAACCUCAGCAACCUUCAGUGAUUUCUGCUGAAAAGGUGCUAAGUCCAGCAAGUUCGAUGACGAACUUGGGAGAUAAGGA